UACGUAGGAGACGAGCGUUGUUCGGAAUUACUGGGCGUAAAGCGCACGUAGGCGGCUUUGUAAGUUAGAGGUGAAAGCCCGGGGCUCAACCCCGGAAUUGCCUUUAAGACUGCAUCGCUUGAAUCCGGGAGAGGUGAGUGGAAUUCCGAGUGUAGAGGUGAAAUUCGUAGAUAUUCGGAAGAACACCAGUGGCGAAGGCGGCUCACUGGACCGGUAUUGACGCUGAGGUGCGAAAGCGUGGGGAGCAAACAGG
rnacentral:rRNA from 1 species